CCGCCUGCCCUGUGACAAAAAGUUUAACGGCCGCGGUAUCUUGACCGUGCGAAGGUAGCGCAAUCACUUGUUUCUUAAAUGGAGACCUGUAUGAAUGGCAUGACGAGGGCCAACCUGUCUCCUUCUCCCAGUCAAUGAAAUUGAUCUCCCCGUGCAGAAGCGGGGAUAAGUACAUAAGACGAGAAGACCCUUUGGAGCUUUAGACUACAAGCAGACCAUGCUUAUUAGACCUAGUUAAAGGAACUAAGCCAAUUGGGUACCUGCCCUAAUGUCUUCGGUUGGGGCGACCACGGGGAAACAAAGAACCCCCAUGAGGAGCAGGAGAACUUUUCUCCCAGAACUAAGACCGACAGGUCUAAGUACCAGAAAUUCUGACCAAAAGAUCCGGCCAAGCCGAUCAACGGACCAAGUUACCCUAGGGAUAACAGCGCAAUCCCCUUUUAGAGCCCAUAUCGACAAGGGGGUUUACGACCUCGAUGUUGGAUCAGGACAUCCUAAUGGUGCAGCCGCUAUUAAGGGUUCGUUUGUUCAACGAUUAAAGUCCUACGUGAUCUGAGUUCAGACCGGGA
rnacentral:rRNA from 1 species